GAUGAACGCUGGCGGCGUGCCUAAUACAUGCAAGUCGAGCGAACAGAUAAGGAGCUUGCUCCUUUGACGUUAGCGGCGGACGGGUGAGUAACACGUGUGUAACCUAUCUAUAAUACUGGAAUAACUCCGGGAAACCGGGUCUAAUGCCGGAUAACAUGUUGAACCGCAUGGUUCUACAGUGAAAGGCGGCUUUGCUGUCACUUAUAGAUGGACCCGCGCCGUAUUAGCUAGUUGGUGGGGUAACGGCUCACCAAGGCAACGAUACGUAGCCGACCUGAGAGGGUGAUCGGCGACACUGGAACGGGGACACGGUCCAGACGCCUACGGGAGGCAGCAGUCGGGAACCGUCCGCAAUGGGCGAAAGCCUGACGGAGCAACGCCGCGUGAGUGAUGACGGUCUCCGGAUCGUAAAACUCUGUUAUUAGGGAAGAACAAAUGCGUAAGUAAAUGUGCGCGUCUUGACGGUACCUAAUCAGAAAGCCACGGCUAACUACGUG
rnacentral:rRNA from 1 species